rnacentral:ribozyme from 1 species
GCGCUCCACACACCAUGCCAGACCGCAUCUCAACAGCGGAGCGUACGCGCCUGAGCCCUCGGGAGCGAGAGCGCCGAGGGCGCAUUGCGAAACAGAAAAUUGCGAUCCGGGUGGAAGGAACGGAGGUUUA